UCCUGCAUGUCUCAUAUUCUCUGGCAUGCAUUAAUUUUGUGAACUACAUGUGAACAUUGUGCAAUCUCUUCAAAAACACUGUCAGUACGCAACAUUGCACUAGUGCAGAGCAUCACAGCGCAGCUCAUCUGAACGAUUAUGACAAGAUGUUAAAUCAAUAAUAAACAAUUUUACGGAUACUCAUAAGAAGGAAUUAAAACGCAACUGUUUUACCAAGCCAUUACAAUAUAAAUAUUACAAAUAAUUGAGUCACGUGACGCGGCUGGCCAAGAUGGCUGCCUGAGCCGAAGCUCUGACUUGCAUCCUUAAC